UAGGCUCGAUCGAGAUAAUGUUAAUCAUCGCCAAAGAGAAAGAAAUAGACUCGAUCGAGAUAAUGUUAAUCGUCACCAAAAUUAAAGAAAUAGGCUCGAUCGAGAUAAUGUUAAUCGUCGCCAAAUUGAAAGAAAUAGGCUGAAAAUGCUGGAAAUAUAGCUGCAUCUUCUGUUUCGAAUGAAAAUGAUUCCUUAUCAUUCGAAGAUUACCAAAAUUAUCGCUCCCAACAACCAGAACCUCUCUCAGAGAAGUCUAUCAAUAAAUGGAAACAUAAUGGCUGAAUGGAUGAGCCCUCCUUUAAAUGGAGGGCUCAUCCAUACCGGGGUGUUGGGAGACACCGAAGGAAAAACAGCAAC